AUGGGGAGGCCGCCAUGCUGCGACAAUGGCGGCGCCAGCGUGAAGAAGGGGCCAUGGACACCCGAGGAGGACAUCAUCCUUGUCUCCUACAUCCAGCAGCACGGGCCCGGGAACUGGCGGUCCGUGCCGGAGAACACCGGGUUGAUGAGGUGCAGCAAGAGCUGCAGGCUGCGGUGGACAAACUACCUCAGACCCGGGAUCAAGAGAGGGAACUUCACCCAGCAUGAGGAAGGGAUAAUCAUACACCUGCAGGCAUUGCUUGGCAACAAGUGGGCAGCAAUAGCCUCCUACCUCCCCCAAAGAACAGACAACGACAUCAAGAACUACUGGAACACACACCUCAAGAAGAAAGUGAAGAGGCUGCAACAACAAACACAUCCUGCAGAUCACUUCUUCCAGCAUACAUCCACUGCCACCAAUGCAGCUGAGCAAACCAUUAGCAUGAAUUACUACAACCCUAGCAGCAGCAACCUCGACUCCGCCAUGCAAGCCGCCAUGGGUUACCCUGAGACCACCACGGGCAACGUUGCACCUGCCGCCAUGGCCGUCUCGAAGCUCUUCCAGUCUUGGAUGCCGAAGGCCCCAUCGCCGGAGAUGGCGGACUACAAGGGUAUGGUGGCCAUGCAGGAGUUUCAGACCGAUCGAGAGGAUGGUGCUACAGCUUCAAUGACCAGUGGCCACAGGUUCUCGUCCUCGGAGAUAUUGGCCGGCCGUGACGAGGCUGCCACGGCCACCACCUUCUCGGUGCUCGAGAACUGGUUGCUCGACGACAUGGCACCGGGGCAGGCUGCCAUGGACGGGCUCAUGGACAUCUCUGCCGGUUGCUGUGCAAACCCCAUCAUGUUUUGA
rnacentral:rRNA from 1 species